rnacentral:rRNA from 1 species
GUGGGGAAUAUUGCACAAUGGGGGAAACCCUGAUGCAGCGACGCCGCGUGAGUGAAGAAGUAUUUCGGUAUGUAAAGCUCUAUCAGCAGGGAAGAAAAUGACGGUACCUGACUAAGAAGCCCCGGCUAACUACGUGCCAGCAGCCGCGGUAAUACGUAGGGGGCAAGCGUUAUCCGGAUUUACUGGGUGUAAAGGGAGCGUAGACGGCGCGGCAAGUCUGAAGUGAAAGGCAGGGGCUUAACCCCUGAACUGCUUUGGAAACUGCCAUGCUAGAGUGCUGGAGAGGUAAGUGGAAUUCCUAGUGUAGCGGUGAAAUGCGUAGAUAUUAGGAGGAACACCAGUGGCGAAGGCGGCUUACUGGACAGUAACUGACGUUGAGGCUCGAAAGCGUGGGGAGCAAACAGGAUUAGAAACCCUUGUAGUCC